GCGUGAGUGAUGAAGGCCCUAGGGUCGUAAAACUCUUUCGCCUGUGAUGAUAAUGACAGUAGCAGGUAAAGAAACCCCGGCUAACUCCGUGCCAGCAGCCGCGGUAAUACGGAGGGGGUUAGCGUUGUUCGGAAUUACUGGGCGUAAAGCGCACGUAGGCGGAUUAGAAAGUUAGAGGUGAAAUCCCGGGGCUCAACCCCGGAACUGCCUUUAAAACUACUAGUCUAGAGUUCGAGAGAGGUGAGUGGAAUUCCGAGUGUAGAGGUGAAAUUCGU
rnacentral:rRNA from 1 species